rnacentral:sRNA from 1 species
UUUCUGCAGUGGAGGGGCUACAUGGAGAUUCAGACAACAGAGCCUGGUGGACCCUCUUUCACCAUCGGCAAAGCUAUUUGGUUGCUCUGGGGUCUGGUGUUUAACAACUCCGUACCUGUGCAGAACCCAAAGGGGACCACCUCCAAGAUCAUGGUGUCAGUGUGGGCCUUCUUUGCUGUCAUCUUCCUGGCCAGCUACACUGCCAACUUAGCUGCCUUCAUGAUCCAAGAGGAAUAUGUGGACCAGGUUUCUGGCCUGAGCGACAAAAAGUUCCAGAGACCUAAUGACUUCUCACCCCCUUUCCGCUUUGGGACCGUGCCCAACGGCAGCACAGAGAGAAAUAUUCGCAAUAACUAUGCAGAAAUGCAUGCCUACAUGGGAAAGUUCAACCAGAGGGGUGUAGAUGAUGCAUUGCUCUCCCUGAAAACAGGGAAACUGGAUGCCUUCAUCUAUGAUGCAGCAGUGCUGAACUAUAUGGCAGGCAGAGAUGAAGGCUGCAAGCUGGUGACCAUUGGCAGUGGGAAGGUCUUUGCUUCCACUGGCUAUGGCAUUGCCAUCCAAAAAGAUUCUGGGUGGAAGCGCCAGGUGGACCUUGCUAUCCUGCAGCUCUUUGGAGAUGGGGAGAUGGAAGAACUGGAAGCUCUCUGGCUCACUGGCAUUUGUCACAAUGAGAAGAAUGAGGUCAUGAGCAGCCAGCUGGACAUUGACAACAUGGCAGGGGUCUUCUACAUGUUGGGGGCGGCCAUGGCUCUCAGCCUCAUCACCUUCAUCUGCGAACACCUUUUCUAUUGGCAGUUCCGACAUUGCUUUAUGGGUGUCUGUUCUGGCAAGCCUGGCAUGGUCUUCUCCAUCAGCAGAGGUAUCUACAGCUGCAUCCAUGGGGUGGCGAUCGAGGAGCGCCAGUCUGUAAUGAACUCCCCCACCGCAACCAUGAACAACACACACUCCAACAUCCUGCGCCUGCUGCGCACGGCCAAGAACAUGGCUAACCUGUCUGGUGUGAAUGGCUCACCGCAGAGCGCCCUGGACUUCAUCCGACGGGAGUCAUCCGUCUAUGACAUCUCAGAGCACCGCCGCAGCUUCACGCAUUCUGACUGCAAAUCCUACAACAACCCGCCCUGUGAGGAGAACCUCUUCAGUGACUACAUCAGUGAGGUAGAGAGAACGUUCGGGAACCUGCAGCUGAAGGACAGCAACGUGUACCAAGAUCACUACCACCAUCACCACCGGCCCCAUAGUAUUGGCAGUGCCAGCUCCAUCGAUGGGCUCUACGACUGUGACAACCCACCCUUCACCACCCAGUCCAGGUCCAUCAGCAAGAAGCCCCUGGACAUCGGCCUCCCCUCCUCCAAGCACAGCCAGCUCAGUGACCUGUACGGCAAAUUCUCCUUCAAGAGCGACCGCUACAGUGGCCACGACGACUUGAUCCGCUCCGAUGUCUCUGACAUCUCAACCCACACCGUCACCUAUGGGAACAUCGAGGGCAAUGCCGCCAAGAGGCGUAAGCAGCAAUAUAAGGACAGCCUGAAGAAGCGGCCUGCCUCGGCCAAGUCCCGCAGAGAGUUUGACGAGAUCGAGCUGGCCUACCGUCGCCGACCGCCCCGCUCCCCUGACCACAAGCGCUACUUCAGGGACAAGGAAGGGCUACGGGACUUCUACCUGGACCAGUUCCGAACAAAGGAGAAUUCACCCCACUGGGAGCACGUGGACCUGACCGACAUCUACAAGGAGCGGAGUGAUGACUUUAAGCGCGACUCCGUCAGUGGAGGAGGGCCCUGUACCAACAGGUCUCACAUCAAGCACGGGACGGGCGACAAACACGGCGUGGUCAGCGGGGUACCUGCACCUUGGGAGAAGAACCUGACCAACGUGGAGUGGGAGGACCGGUCCGGGGGCAACUUCUGCCGCAGCUGUCCCUCCAAGCUGCACAACUACUCCACGACGGUGACGGGUCAGAACUCGGGCAGGCAGGCGUGCAUCCGGUGUGAGGCUUGCAAGAAAGCAGGCAACCUGUAUGACAUCAGCGAGGACAACUCCCUGCAGGAACUGGACCAGCCGGCUGCCCCAGUGGCGGUGACGUCAAACGCCUCCACCACUAAGUACCCUCAGAGCCCGACUAAUUCCAAGGCCCAGAAGAAGACCCGGAACAAACUGCGCCGGCAGCACUCCUACGACACCUUCGUGGACCUGCAGAAGGAAGAAGCCGCCCUGGCCCCGCGCAGCGUAAGCCUGAAAGACAAGGGCCGAUUCAUGGAUGGGAGCCCCUACGCCCACAUGUUUGAGAUGUCAGCUGGCGAGAGCACCUUUGCCAACAACAAGUCCUCAGUGCCCACUGCCGGACAUCACCACCACAACAACCCCGGCGGCGGCUACAUGCUCAGCAAGUCGCUCUACCCUGACCGGGUCACGCAAAACCCUUUCAUCCCCACUUUUGGGGACGACCAGUGCUUGCUCCAUGGCAGCAAAUCCUACUUCUUCAGGCAGCCCACGGUGGCGGGGGCGUCGAAAGCCAGGCCGGACUUCCGGGCCCUUGUCACCAACAAGCCGGUGGUCUCGGCCCUUCAUGGGGCCGUGCCAGCCCGUUUCCAGAAGGACAUCUGUAUAGGGAACCAGUCCAACCCCUGUGUGCCUAACAACAAAAACCCCAGGGCUUUCAAUGGCUCCAGCAAUGGGCAUGUUUAUGAGAAA